UACGGGGGGGCAAGCGUUGUUCGGAAUUACUGGGCGUAAAGGGCUCGUAGGUGGCCAACUAAGUCAGACGUGAAAUCCCUCAGCUUAACUGGGGAACUGCGUCUGAGACUGGAUGGCUUGAGUGCAGGAGAGGAACGCGGAAUUCCAGGUGUAGCGGUGAAAUGCGUAGAUAUCUGGAGGAACACCGGUGGCGAAGGCGGCGUUCUGGACUGCUACUGACACUGAGGAACGAAAGCCAGGGGAGCAAACGGG
rnacentral:rRNA from 1 species